rnacentral:rRNA from 1 species
AUUGAACGCUGGCGGCAUGCCUUACACAUGCAAGUCGAACGGCAGCACGGGUGCUUGCACCUGGUGGCGAGUGGCGAACGGGUGAGUAAUAUAUCGGAACGUACCUUAUUGUGGGGGAUAACGCAGCGAAAGCUGUGCUAAUACCGCAUAAUCCCUAAGGGGGAAAGCGGGGGACCGUAAGGCCUCGCGCAAUUGGAGCGGCCGAUACCUGAUUAGCUAGUUGGGGAGGUAAAGGCUCACCAAGGCAACGAUCAGUAGCUGGGCUGAGAGGACGAUCAGCCACCCUGGGACUGAGACACGGCCCAGACUCCUACGGGAGGCAGCAGUGGGGAAUUUUGGACAAUGGGGGCAACCCUGAUCCAGCAAUGCCGCGUGAGUGAAGAAGGCCUUCGGGUUGUAAAGCUCUUUUGUCAGGGAAGAAACAGCAGCUCUAACACAGUUUGCGAAUGACGGUACCUGAAGAAUAAGCACCGGCUAACUACGUGCCAGCCGCCGCCGUAA